UACGUAGGUCCCGAGCGUUGUCCGGAUUUAUUGGGCGUAAAGCGAGCGCAGGUGGUUUAUUAAGUCUGGUGUAAAAGGCAGUGGCUCAACCAUUGUAUGCAUUGGAAACUGGUAGACUUGAGUGCAGGAGAGGAGAGUGGAACUCCAUGUGUAGCGGUGAAAUGCGUAGAUAUAUGGAGGAACACCGGUGGCAAAAGCGGCUCUCUGGCCUGUAACUGACACUGAGGCUCGAAAGCGUGGGGAGCAAACAGG
rnacentral:rRNA from 1 species